rnacentral:sRNA from 12 species
ACGGAUACGACGGGCUCUCCUCCUCCCUGCCCGGUCGUAAGCGGUGAUGGCCUCUCCUCCUCCCUGGCCGGAACCGCGACCCAUACGCGGCCCCUCCUCCUCCCUGGGCCAGCGUUCAGC